CGCCUUGCAGUCAAGGAGAGCCCAUGCCUUUGGACAUGCUGUUCCUUCUGCCUGGAAUUUCCUUGUCCGCCUGGUGA
rnacentral:miRNA from 1 species